CGUUGAAACACCGGUUCCCGUGCGAUCACCGAAGUUAAGCAAUAUUGGGUGUGGUCAGUGCCUAGAUGGGUGACCGCUUCAGAAUACCAAGUGCU